rnacentral:tRNA from 1 species
UGAAACUUAAGUUAGCCCAAACUAGUGACCUUCAACGUCACAAACAGGUAAAACACCUAGUUUCAG